rnacentral:rRNA from 1 species
GAUGAACGCUAGCGGCAGGCUUAAUACAUGCAAGGCGAGGGGGCAGCAAUGUCACCGUCGUACGGGUGCGUAACGCGUAUGCAACCUACCUAUCACUGGGGGAUAGCCCGGGGAAACCCGGAUUAAUACCGCAUAACACAGGGGCCCCACAUGGGGAUAUUUGUUAAAGAUUUAUCGGUGGUAGAUGGGCAUGCGUUCGAUUAGCUAGUUGGCAGGGUAACGGCCUACCAAGGCGACGAUCGAUAGGGGAGCUGAGAGGUUGAUCCCCCACACGGGCACUGAGAUACGGGCCCGACUCCUACGGGAGGCAGCAGUAGGGAAUAUUGGGCAAUGGAUGCAAGUCUGACCCAGCCAUGCCGCGUGCCGGAAGAAGGCCCUCAGGGUUGUAAACGGCUUUUAUUCGGGAAGAAGAGCAGGGAUGCGUCCUUGUGUGACGGUACCGAAUGAAUAAGCACCGGCUAACUCCGUGCCAGCAGCCGCAGUAAAAC